ensembl:lncRNA
UUAGGAUUGUCAAUCAGCUUCUAAUGAAGAUCAUUCUAUCUGGUCAAAAGCAACACAGCCGUUGUUGUGUGGACGUUUAUUGAGUUUUGAAGAUGAUGAAUGAAUUGUAUCUUCCUGUUUCAUUUCUUAGUGAGGACCUUGCACGUCACGUGCUCUGCUGGCUGCUUGUUGUUCGACGCCAUUUGCUCCGACCGAAUAUAAAAACAUUAAGGUUCAAUCUACCUGGUCGUUUAGAGAGGCAGCAUUAUCGCCAUGCCGACAGGGCCGCACAGACAGCGGCCAGCGUAAUGUCUUACCUAGCUGGUGUAAAGCCUCCCAUGAAGGUUAAAGCACCUUCUGGAUACUUUAAUUUCUUUCUUGAAAGUCCUCAUGAAUGGAGGUGCUCUGCAGAGCGUGUAGGCCGUGUGCGUGUGUGUGUGUGUGUGUGUGCGUGUGUGUGUGUGCUAUCUACCUGCCUCCACUGCUGAACCCAUUGCAAUGGUAGGGAGGAUUCCGUGAUCCCCCAUCAAGCGCCCAGGAGAGCGCAGCCACGCAAGAUUGAUGACACCCUCCGGAAGAAACAAAAGAUCUGCCGCCAGCGGGAACUGGCUUAUGAGACCUGAUAGACUCGUCUCUUAAUAAACAUCACUGAUAUGUCAGCCACGGCGUGUUUCACCCGCAGCUGCGUCGUGGAGGGUGCAGCGAGCGACGGCAACCCCUACUGUCACUGCGCUCUCACAGCGAAACGCCAUGAUGGCUUCAACCACACCAGACAGGGAAGAAUACUAGGAGGAGGAGGAGGAGGAGGAGUUUUUUUCCCAGGGUGUUCAUAGAAUAUAAAAAGUAUAAUAUGUUAUUUAAAUUUACUGGUAAAAUUGCCUACGUUGGCCGGUGUUCCAUAGUUUAUCUUUUUCCAAUAACGCCUUGUUAUCAAAUGAUCGAUACCUGAUAUUUGCAUUUUAAUAAAUGAGGCCUGUACAAUCCCUGCUGUCGUUGCUUAUUAUAGUAUUGACAGUGGACAUCAUUCCCACAGGGGGGAGGAGAGAGUGAAUGGCAUCUACACACACAGGAGAUGCUUCUCCUCUGCCAGCUCUGCCACACGCGUCCACUCUUCUGUUUACAAUAUUCUGGGGUUUCUUCCACCAUAAAAAAUGUUGUAUCUGUCACAAUUCUAUCUCUCAGACCUUCCCUCGGCGCUGUAUAAUGCCUUGUUAAAGUCAGCCGUGUG